AGUGAACGCUGGCGGUAGGCCUAACACAUGUAAGUCGAACGGCAGCACAGUAAGAGCUUGCUCUUACGGGUGGCGAGUGGCGGACGGGUGAGGAAUACAUCGGAAUCUACUUUUUCGUGGGGGAUAACGUAGGGAAACUUACGCUAAUACCGCAUACGACCUACGGGUGAAAGCAGGGGAUCUUCGGACCUUGCGCGAUUGAAUGAGCCGAUGUCGGAUUAGCUAGUUGGCGGGGUAAAGGCCCACCAAGGCGACGAUCCGUAGCUGGUCUGAGAGGAUGAUCAGCCACACUGGAACUGAGACACGGUCCAGACUCCUACGGGAGGCAGCAGUGGGGAAUAUUGGACAAUGGGCGCAAGCCUGAUCCAGCCAUACCGCGUGGGUGAAGAAGGCCUUCGGGUUGUGAAGCCCUUUUGUUGGGAAAGAAAAGCAGCAGGUUAAUACCCCGCUGUUCUGACGGUACCCAAAGAAUAAGCACCGGCUAACUUCGUG
rnacentral:rRNA from 1 species